UACAGAGGGUGCGAGCGUUAAUCGGAAUUACUGGGCGUAAAGCGCACGUAGGCGGCUUGGUAUGUCGGGUGUGAAAUCCCCAGGCUCAACCUGGGAACUGCAUCCGAUACUGGAUGGCUUGAAUUCGGGAGAGGGAUGCAGAAUUCCAGGUGUAGCGGUGAAAUGCGUAGAUAUCUGGAGGAAUACCGGUGGCGAAGGCGGCAUCCUGGACCGACAUUGACGCUGAUGAGCGAAAGCUAGGGGAGCAAACGGG
rnacentral:rRNA from 1 species